UUUAUAUUUGUAAAAUCAAAAUGAGAAAAAUAAUAUUAAAUAACAAUUGGUGGUGGAUUUCGCAACUUCAUAAGUCGUGAAAGAACUCCUCUUGUUUAUAAAAUCAAAGGCCUGUC
rfam:Moheibacter sediminis strain CGMCC 1.12708 genome assembly, contig: Ga0171597_101